ACCAGGAUGGCCUGAUUGGUUAAGGCGUUGGACUCAAGAUCCAAUGAGCGUAUGCUCACGUGGGUUCCAAUCCUACUCCUGGUA
rnacentral:tRNA from 1 species